UACGGAGGAUCCAAGCGUUAUCCGGAAUCAUUGGGUUUAAAGGGUCCGUAGGCGGGCUAAUAAGUCAGUGGUGAAAGUCUGCAGCUCAACUGUAGAAUUGCCAUUGAUACUGGUAACCUUGAGUAAUUAUGAAGAAGUUAGAAUAUCUACUGUCGCGAUGAAAUGCAUAGAUAUUACAUAGAAUACCGAUUGCGAAGGCAGAUCACUAAUAAUUUACUGACGCUGAUGGACGAAAGCGUAGGUAGCGAACAGG
rnacentral:misc_RNA from 1 species